rnacentral:lncRNA from 1 species
GAGAAAGCUAAGUGUUGAUGACAGUGUGGGCCUGACCGUGCCUGAGUAAGCCCCAUGGGAACACAGCCGUGGUGGGAAGCAGCUUCCCAGCAGCCCUCCCCGCCAUCGGGAGAAUCCCCUGAGGCCAUGAGAGGGUCUCAGGGAGGUGGACGGCCCAUCAAGUGAGAACCGAGGGCACUGUGCACUCCUGAAUCCUAGGACUCCUCUUAGGUCAUUGACUAACAACAUCAACAAUGAAAUGAAUCUGAGAAAACAGGAAAUUGAGAGCAAGAGAAAAAAAAGUUAAUUAUACUGAUUUUGUAUAAGACCCCUUUGAACACAUUUUUAAAAAAUCAAAUAGAAGGUGCCCAGGUCCACUGUGCCUUGUGAAUAUUUGUCUUGUAUAUCCUAGAGAUCUACGCAUUCAUGUGGGAAUUGAAAAGGACCCACAUUUUACUAGAAGCAUCGUUCAUUUUUGCCUCAAAACAAUGCCCACAUGUCAGAAGAACUUUCACAAUUCACAGGAACAGUGACCUAAUUAACCAACCAUAAAAUUGCCAAAUCCCUACUUCUCAUUGUUUAAUAUGCUUAGAAAACCCAUUCAAAUUGUGAAUUAUCAAGUGAGCUUACACUGAUAAAUAGAUCCAAUAUUUAGGAAUUUUUAAAUCUUCCAUUCCUUUUUUUUUUUUGUCUUUUUAAAAAUAGAACAUUAGAAUAUGUCCUCCAGGUUUUAGAGAUGGGGGAGACAUGCUUCCCUUUAUUUCUCAGUAACUCAGCCAAAAAAAAUCUGGAGAGAAUGCAAAGACAGCUACUGGAAACUUUGAAAAGUAGAUGUGAGCCCAUCAGGGAAGAGCUAGAGAAUCUGAAAUCUACUCGAAAAAGUGAGUUUGAUACUUUGUGUUCCUAUCCUAACUCCACACAGCCUGAAACUUGGAAGUGAGCAUGAUGGAGUGGAUACAGUGAGAUGCAGAAGAAAUCCUCCAGUUUGGGCUGGAAGGGAAAAAAGAGACCCCUAAAACUCAGAGACAGUGGAAGAAAUUCCUGGUGUUUUUUUCUUCUCUUUUUCUCUGUUCUUCCACAUAGCAAUUUAGUAUUGACUACAGCAUCUCUGUUACAAUGAUAGCACCGAAAUGUUGUAACCAUAUGGCCUGCAAAGCCAAAAAUACUUAUCUGACCAUCUACAGGAAAAGUUUGCUGAUCUGGAUGAAAUAUUCUGAUACUAAAUAUUCCAUUUUGAGGCUGAUAUUCCUAAUCUAUUCAUAAGGAUGGCAUAUCUACCCAGUGGGCCUGCUGGGACUCCAGUUACCCGAUGCACAUACAUUGCUUGGUGGUCAGUAAAUAUUAUUUUGCUUUCUUUAUUCCUUUGUGGAAAAAUUUCAGGUAGAGAAGAAACCUGAAAUAAUUUGAAGAACUUUAAAAUUUUUUUCACCCACUAAUUUAUAUUCUCAUUAGCAAAAAGAACCGAAUAUUGGUAGCUCUAUACUUUAUAAUAAAGAUGUGGAACUUCUUGAUUACUCUUUCCUUCUUCUACGUUGACUCAUUCUAUCACUAUUAAUUCACUCAGGAAAUGCUGAUUGAGCAGCUCCUUUGUAUAGAUGUUAAUAGCACGGUUCUCGCCAUAGGUCACAGAGGUUGGUUUGCUGAGCAACUCUGAGAACCCGUUUUUAAGUUCCCUGACUCUCCUAUUCACUGGAAUGGAAUGCCUUGCUGUCUGGGCCCUCCUUGCUUCACCUUCCAAUGAACUGAAAUCAUCACACUGAUCCUAUUGUAGCGGAGAGUGGUGUGUUAAAACCAUAACCAUAACCCCGUCUGGAGACCAGCCUCAGCUCUGUCGCUUUCUUAUCUCUUCAGAUGCAGCAGAUAGUUACCUCUAACUUUUAGUUUGCCUCAGACAUUAAGAAUAAAAUCAUAUUCAGCAUAAUUUAGGUGUCAUUCUCCACAUUCCACUGGUGCUAACAAACAUUUUUGUAUUGUUCCCAUGUGUCAACAAUAGCAAUCUGUGGCUCAUUAUAAGUGACAGCAAAUGUCAACAAGCCUGCCUCCUGGAGAUUUGUUUGUAAAGAUUCCUUAUCAGUUGUUGUUAUUUAUACCCCUGGCUUCUAUCGUCAUUGAUUAUUCUAUAUAUUUUCCUCCUUCAAGUGAAUGUACAAAGAGACCAAGAAAACCUCAGUCAAACUUGGAAAUUUCCUUUGUAAUAUUCUUUUUAAAGUUAGUUAUGUGGCAGUUUCGUGUGCAUUUUUGGUGAUGAUGCUCCACGGAACAUCUGCAGAUGUGCUGUCAAUUUGGACAGCUCUGACUACCGAGUGAAUGGGAAGUACUAACGAGAACUGUCUGCUUGGGAACUCCAUGAAGUUCGUGGCUUUUGUGAUUGAAAUAGCAUCAAUAAAAGGUUGACACUGUGGAACAACACAAGCCUGCAUGGACCUGGUUAUCUCUGACCUCGCACCACUCAUGAGACCAUACCUGAGCCCUACUCCACUUUGGCAGAACUGUUGCAUGGCCUCUCUUCAUAUAAUACCUCUCCGUACACCGUACACCGCAGCUCAAAGAAAGGAUAUAUGCUCCCUGUGAAGACUAAUGGAACUGUCCCUCCUGAUCCUCCUACAGACUUCCUCUGGCCUAAUGGGUGCACCAUUGCAUUAUAUCUGCCAUCUAUACACACAUAUACCUUUCAACCCUGCACUCUCUGAGAUGACUGGACUCAUGCCUAAAUAACUGAUGCUGUCCCUAGUGUAAGGAAGCUGCCUGACGAGGAGCUGUACGGAAAUAAGAGUAAUUCAGUGAUGGGGUCCAAGCAUCCUGAAUAUAAGCGGUCCAUGUCAAGAAAGAGCCAAAGGGCGUCCUCAGGACAUGGAAGAGGGGCAUUCCAGGCUGGCAGCUGGGGAGGCCCAGAGAGCCCUGGAGAAGAUCUGAAGUCCAUUGCAGAGCUUUCUUUAAGACUACUGAAUUGUACAGAAGAAGCAGAAAUGAAAAAAAAAUUAAAAAUAUAGAAAUGAUGUAUUUUAAUGAGAUUUAAACAUCUAGGGGAGAGUUUGGGGUGGGAAUGCUGAUAAGUUCAUAGAAAAGUAAGCAAAUGAAAACAAGACAAAAAUAAUAAA